UACGAAAAUGCCCUUCGAUAGUUAACUGCAGCCGGUUCCAUCGGCAGUUAACUGUCGAGGAAAGA
rnacentral:pre_miRNA from 1 species